CCUACGGGGGGCUGCAGUGGGGAAUUGUUCGCAAUGGGCGCAAGCCUGACGACGCAACGCCGCGUGGAGGAUGAAGGUCUUCGGAUUGUAAACUCCUGUUGCCCGGGACGAAUUGCUUCGACCUAACACGUCGAAGUUUGACGGUACCGGGUGAGGAAGCCCCGGCUAACUCUGUGCCAGCAGCCGCGGUAAUACAGAGGGGGCAAGCGUUGUUCGGAAUUACUGGGCGUAAAGGGCGCGUAGGCGGCCAUUUAAGUCAGACGUGAAAUCCCCGGGCUCAACCCGGGAACUGCGUCUGAUACUGGAUGGCUUGAAUCCGGGAGAGGGAUGUGGAAUUCCAGGUGUAGCGGUGAAAUGCGUAGAUAUCUGGAGGAACAUCGGUGGCGAAGGCGGCAUCCUGGACAGAAACUGACGCUGAGGCGCGAAAGCUAGGGGAGCAA
rnacentral:rRNA from 1 species